CCUACGGGAGGCAGCAGUGAGGAAUAUUGGUCAAUGGACGGAAGUCUGAACCAGCCAUGCCGCGUGCAGGAAGACGGCCCUAUGAGUUGUAAACUGCUUUUGUACCAGGGUAAACGUAGAGACUUGUAUCUGUGUGAAAGUACCUUACGAAUAAGGAUCGGCAAACUCCGUGCCAGCAGCCGCGGUACUACGGAGGGUGCAAGCGUUAUCCGGAUUUAUUGGGUGUAAAGGGAGCGGAGGCGGUCGGAUAAGUUAGAUGUGAAAUCACGAGGCUCAACUUCGGAAUUGCCUUUGAUACUGUGCGGCUAGAGAGAAUUUGCGGUAGGCGGAA
rnacentral:rRNA from 1 species